rnacentral:misc_RNA from 1 species
GAUGAAGAACGUAGCGAAAUGCGAUAACUAAUGUGAAUUGCAGAAUUCCGUGAAUCAUCGAGUCUUUGAACGCACAUUGCGCCCCCUGGUAUUCCGGGGGGCAUGCCUGUCCGAGCGUCAUUGCUGCCCAUCAAGCACGGCUUGUGUGUUGGGUCCCGUCCCCCUCUCCCGGGGGACGGACCCGAAAGGCAGCGGCGGCACCGCGUCCGGUCCUCGAGCGUAUGGGGCUUUGUCACCCGCUCUUGUAGGCCCGGCCGGCGCUUGCCGACACCCAACCAUUUUUUUCAGGUUGACCACGGAUCAGGUAGGGAUACCCGCUGAACUUAAGCAUAUCAAUAAGCGGAGGA